GUCUGGUUAAUUCCGAUAACGAACGAGACCUUAGCCUGCUAACUAGCUCACUUUAUUUUAUAUUGUGCAGCUUCUUAGAGGGACUAUGCAUUCAAGUGCAUGGAAGUUUGAGGCAAUAACAGGUCUGUGAUGCCCUUAUAUGUUCUGGGCUGCACGCGUGCUACACUGACAUAUACAAUAAGUGCCUAGCUUGUGAAAGUAUGGCAAUCUCGAAUAUAUGUCGUGAUGGGGAUAGAUCUUUGCAAUUAUAGAUCUUGAACGAGGAAUUCCUAGUAAAUGCUAGUCAUCAUCUAGUAUUGAUUAUGUCCCUGCCCUUUGUACACACCGCCCGUCGCUCCUACUGAUAUCGGGCAUAGUGGUGAAUUUUCUGGACUGCUUUGUGGAAAAGACUGUUAACCAUUCUGCCUAGAGGAAGGAGAAGUCGUAACAAGGUUUCCGUAGGUGAACCUGCRGAAGGAUCA
rnacentral:rRNA from 1 species